GCUGUCAAUUUAGGGAUUUGAGAUACAGAGAUAGAGAUCGGCGCAACUCUGUGGCCAACAUAAUCGGAACUAAACACAGACUGACGAAAGUGGGUAUUCUUUGCUUAGUGAUCCCCAGUACAACAAAGGACUUACCAAUGCUUUGGUCAUUCAGUUGACUCCUUACUGCCAGUCUGUACUUGCUGUCAUGCUAGCAAAAACAGGGGUUUCAGCCAGUUUUAACUAUUAUUGGAUUUGAACCAAUGACUUACCGCUUACUAUUCAAGGGGAGGUGGAGCGCUAACAAAGGGAAAGCAUUAUCACUAUUUGAAACUGUUUUCCAUCCUACUUGAUCUGCUGUUUUUGAAGAGUGAUUGAAAUUGUAAAACUUUGAAAUCUGAAAGUGUAAUGUAUUUUGUUGUUGUAA